ensembl:lncRNA
GGUUCUAGGAAUGUUCUUCUGAGUUAGCCCUGGAGAAUAUUUAAAUUGUGUGUUAAUCCAUCCUCAAGCCCUGCUUCUUAAUACAAGACAUUCCCAGAAAGUGAUGGUUGAGUAAAGAGCAAUGAGAAUUGCAGCUACAUAUUAAAUAUAUAUACAUAUAUAUAAAAAAAAAAGUUAACUUUGCUUCUCCUCAGUCUCCUCACGUAUUACUUUAGCUUCCUUGAUGAUGGAGUCUUUGGAGCAAGGAGUGCAUAACCAUAUUUGCCUGGAAAGUGCCUGGCAAAGCCAGGGAGCAGGAACAUUGCAGCUCUGCCAGCCCAGCACACCCCAGCAGCAUCUCCCCAGACACUGGUGUGUGCUCUGCAGCAGCUGAUCAGCAUCUGCAUGGGACACAUAGACUGCCGACAUCAGGGGAAGCUGUAAAAACCUGGACCAUAUUUUCCGUCUUUUAUCGUAGACAGAUUGUGUAUAUGUUUGCGCCAUUCUUUUUCUCGAUGGUUACACCCUACCCAAAGAAUGAUGGAGACACAUGGAUGGAGCAUUCAGACCUGACUGCAGGUCUCUGAUCUGUUUGCCGGGUCAGAAACUCUCUGCUACCCACCAGAGCGUACUUUUUCCUUCACAGGGAUAAUUCUGGGCUAGACUGUUUUGUUUCCCUGUGUGCUGCUACAGAGCUACUCAGCCAUGUAUGUUUUCCUGUGUGGGUGGAGAUAAUCUCUGUGCCUUUGCCAGCACUUUAACUCUUUUGAAGCUAAGGGUCACAUACAAGUACUUUCUGCUGUCAGCCUGUGCUUCAAAGUUAUUUCAGACUUGCUUUGAGAAUGGAUUAUUUUAACACACUUUAUUACAUAAUCUUGUUUAAAGAACCUUCCUGCAAGUUUAGAAAUACAAAGUUAGCUAAUAAACCAUGUGCUGUUUUUUCUCAUGACUUUGUGAAUGAAUAAGGGUGGAAGGUGGACAGAUUUUCACUUCAGAUGUUAAUUCUGCACCAAUUUCAUGUAUUUCCCUUGUAUGUGCAAACCUUUUGUUUGCCAGGCAAAAGAAUGCACUGGUUUACAGUAGAGAGGCAAAUACAGAGAAUUUCUCACUACCUUGCCAGAGUUUGAGGUGUCUCGAGGACCAUCACCCCAAAGUUCAAAGCUCAUGCACUGGUCCUAAGUGUCAGGCAACUAGCCCAAAUUUCUUUGGAGAAGAAGGUGUGGAUUUUGAUCUGUCUCUUGGUAUUUCCAAGACUUUCUUGUCUUUGGAUGUUAGAUAGGGGAGAACUGUGGUACCCCCCACAUUUCUGGAAUGCAGUCCCUGAUGCAGAAGUUCUCAUCCUAUAUCUGUUUCCCCUUUCCAUUUCCAGCCUGUACACCAGUCCUUCUCUGCACACCCAUCCAGUCCCAGGUGUGCUCCUCUGCCUACUCAGGGAGUCCAUGAGACUUCAGACAGGGGAAACCACCAAGGGCUCCUUUAUUCCAUCCUCAUAGGUCUGGUGUUGCACAGAAAGACAAGAACGAAGACAGAUGAAGGCAAGCUGGAGUGAAUGGGCUUUUACUACUGAAUUCUCAUACCCAAAAGGUUAACCAAGUUACAACUAAGUAAGGACUGACAGUAAGUGUGGCCUCCAACAUCGAGGCCAGCAGCAUCACAAGAGCUGAGCUAUUGCCUAAUCAUACCGCAUGUUUUCACAGGAAAGUGGAAAAGACUGAAAUGUGUAUGAGCUACAGAAAAACAUUUUGACAACUGGAAAUGCCUGUAAUUUUCAACUUUUUAGCCUAGCAAUUAUUUCAUUGUGGAUUUAAAAAAAUAUUUCACGCAAAAGCUUUUAUUAACUUUUCCCUCAACAUUUCAAUUUUUCAGCAGCAGAAAUUUUAUAAAAAGGGGGAAAAAAUUCCCCUGCCACCAUCCCUCAAUUUAUUUUUUCAAACCUUUUUACUUCUUACUUAUGCCUUAUCUCUCCUUCCUCAUUCCCUGCCUCUUGAGACAUAAAUGCUGAUCAGAUGGGGUUUCCCUUCCAGACUGAGGAAGCUUUGUAGGGCUUCUCUCAUUUCAGAGAUCAGCUCCAGUCCCAGCAA